rnacentral:rRNA from 1 species
GACGAACGCUGGCGGCGUGCCUAAUACAUGCAAGUCGAGCGAACAGACGAGGAGCUUGCUCCUCUGACGUUAGCGGCGGACGGGUGAGUAACACGUGGAUAACCUACCUAUAAGACUGGGAUAACUUCGGGAAACCGGAGCUAAUACCGGAUAAUAUAUUGAACCGCAUGGUUCAAUAGUGAAAGACGGUUUUGCUGUCACUUAUAGAUGGAUCCGCGCCGCAUUAGCUAGUUGGUAAGGUAACGGCUUACCAAGGCAACGAUGCGUAGCCGACCUGAGAGGGUGAUCGGCCACACUGGAACUGAGACACGGUCCAGCCUCCUCCGGGAGGCAGCAGUAGGGAAUCUUCCGCAAUGGGCGAAAGCCUGACGGAGCAACGCCGCGUGAGUGAUGAAGGUCUUCGGAUCGUAAAGCUCUGUUAUUAGGGAAGAACAAAUGUGUAAGUAACUAUGCACGUCUUGACGGUACCUAAUCAGAAAGCCACGGCUAACUACGUG